UUGCUCUGAAACAAAAGGUCAUUAAAACACAGUGAUGCAGAUGAUCAAAGAGGGGAAAAUCUCUUCUCAUCACAUUACCAACCUGCCAAUUCAACCAUUUUGAGCCAUACUGGGAUUCCCCACAAAACUCCUCUGAUGCAUAGGAAUGAGCUCAGAUGGAUCUCACUUCUGUCUGAGUCUGUCUGCUGUCCACGAGGCAUCCCUACUGGGCAGGACAUACACCUUCAGUUGGAGACCAGUAUUUCACACAAGGGAUUGUCAGGAAACCUGUCUGUGGCGGCGACCAGGAGUGGAUGGUGCAUUAGGUAAUUCCCCCAGCGUGCUACAAGAAGGAU